rnacentral:rRNA from 1 species
UACGUAGGUGGCAAGCGUUGUCCGGAAUUACUGGUCGUAAAGCGCGUGUAGGCGGCUUGGCAAGUCGGAUGUGAAAGCCCACGGCUCAACCGUGGAAGCGCAUCCGAAACUGCUUCGCUUGAGUCUCGGAGAGGAAGGUGGAAUGCUUGGUGUAGAGGUGAAAUUCGUAGAUAUCAAGCAGAACACCUGCGGCGAAGGCGGCCUUCUGGACGAUGACUGACGCUGAGACGCGAAAGCGUGGGGAGCAAACAGG